rnacentral:rRNA from 1 species
GACGAACGCUGGCGGCGUGCCUAAUACAUGCAAGUCGAGCGAAGUUUUUCUGGUGCUUGCACUAGAAAAACUUAGCGGCGAACGGGUGAGUAACACGUAAAGAACCUGCCUCAUAGACUGGGACAACUAUUGGAAACGAUAGCUAAUACCGGAUAACAGCAUUAACUGCAUGGUUGAUGUUUAAAAGUUGGUUUUGCUAACACUAUGAGAUGGCUUUGCGGUGCAUUAGCUAGUUGGUGGGGUAAAGGCCUACCAAGGCGACGAUGCAUAGCCGACCUGAGAGGGUGAUCGGCCACACUGGGACUGAGACACGGCCCAGACUCCUACGGGAGGCAGCAGUAGGGAAUCUUCCGCAAUGGGCGAAAGCCUGACGGAGCAACGCCGCGUGAGUGAAGAAGGAUUUCGGUUCGUAAAGCUCUGUUGUUAGGGAAGAAUGAUUGUGUAGUAACUAUACACAGUAGAGACGGUACCUAACCAGAAAGCCACGGCUAACUACGUGCCAGCAGCCGCGGUAAUACGUAGGUGGCAAGCGUUGUCCGGAAUUAUUGGGCGUAAAGCGCGCGCAGGUGGUUUAAUAAGUCUGAUGUGAAAGCCCACGGGCUCAACCGUGGAGGGUCAUUGGAAAACCGUUAAACUUGAGUGUAGCAUAGAAAAGUGGAAUUUUCUAGUGUACCGGUGAAAAUCAGCGCACAUUACGAGCAACCCCUUUGUCGGAAAGG